GUCUCUGGCCAUGCCACUCUGAAAUGCCAGAUCUUGUCUGGUCUCAGAAGCUAAGCAGGGUCGGCCUAGUUAGUACUUGGAUGGGAGACCACCUAGAAAGACCAGGUGCUGUAGGAG
rnacentral:rRNA from 1 species